rnacentral:rRNA from 1 species
GACGAACGCUGGCGGCGUGCUUAACACAUGCAAGUCGAACGGUGAAGCGCCUUCCUUUUUGGUGGGUGUGGAUGAGUGGCGAACGGGUGAGUAACACGUGAGUAACCUGCCCCCUUCUUCUGGAUAACCGCAUGAAAGUGUGGCUAAUACGGGAUAUUCUGGGUCUGUCGCAUGAUGGGUCUGGGAAAGAUAUUGUUUCGGUGGGGGAUGGGCUCGCGGCCUAUCAGCUUGUUGGUGGGGUGAUGGCCUACCAAGGCGGUGACGGGUAGCCGGCCUGAGAGGGUGGACGGUCACACUGGGACUGAGACACGGCCCAGACUCCUACGGGAGGCAGCAGUGGGGAAUAUUGCACGAUGGGCGCAAGCCUGAUGCAGCGACGCCGCGUGAGGGAUGGAGGCCUUCGGGUUGUGAACCUCUUUCGCCAGUGAAGCAGGCCUGCCUCGUUUGUGGGUGGGUUGACGGUAGCUGGAUAAGAAGCGCCGGCUAACUACGGG